GAAUAUUUGGGCCCAAAUCUGGCCCAUAUUAUUUUCCUCGGCCGGUCCAUUAAGCAAACUUACGCCUCCCCAAUCUCUUCCCAAAUGCGGCAGUUUCCGGCGUCUUUCCCAUCGGUGCCGCCGGCGAAAAAACAAGUUACAGGUUCCCGUCUUCAUUUCUCUUGCUCUAUCAUUCCAUAUCUUUCAAUUUUCUCGAAAUUCAAAAUACAGCAUAUAUAGAAUUCAUUUUCUUAUGAGAAAAAUAUGUUUCUUCCAUCAAUUUCUCGCCUAUUCGCCGAUGCUAAAUCACUCAAUAAACCAAUUUUUUCACUCAAAUUGGUACAUUUACUCAGCACUUCUUCAUCAUCAGCUGGAGAAUUCUUAAGUCAUUUGCUGAAUAAUAAAAAUGUGUCGGGUAUGGAGAGAACAUUGAGCUCAGUUAGGUCUAAGCUAGAUGCUCGAUGUGUUGAUGAAGUAUUAGAGAAAUGCGCUGUUGAUGAUCCCCAAAUGUGUCUGAGAUUCUUCAUUUGGGCUGGUCUUCAAUCCAGCUAUAGACAUAGUAGUUACAUGUACAGUAGAGCUUAUAAACUGCUUGGAGUGGAUAGUAAACCGCAAAUUAUUCGAGAUGCCAUUGAGGCUUAUAGGCUGCAGAAAUAUGUCACAAGUGCUAAGAUGUUUAAAGUUGUGUUGAAUUUAUGUAGAGAGGGAAAAGAUGCUACCUUGGGAUUGUGGGUGUUGAGGAAAAUGAAAGAGUCUAAUUGUCGCCCGGAUACGAUUAUGUAUAAUGUAGUUAUUCGAUUAUUAUGUGAGAAGGGAGAUAUGGAUGAGGCAAUGGGUUUGAUGAGAGAAAUGGACCUGAUUGAUGUUCAUCCUGAUAUGAUCACCUAUGUCGUGAUGAUUAAGGGGUUGUCUGAGGUGGGUAGGUUGGAAGAAGCUUGUGGAUUAACAAAAGCUAUGAGGGGACAUGGAUGUAUACCAAAUACGGUUACCUAUUCAGCUCUUCUUGAUGGGAUUUGUAGGUUUGGGAGUUUGGAAAGGGCACUUGAGUUAUUGAGAGAAAUGGAAAAAGACGGUGGGCAGUGUGAGCCUAAUGUCGUUACAUAUACUACUGUGGUUCAAAAUUUUGUUGAGAAAUGUCAGGCGAUUGAGGCACUAAGUAUUUUGGACCAAAUGAGGGAUUUUGGGUGUAAACCAAAUAGGGUGCUUAUCUCUACUUUGAUUCAUGGUCUUUGCAAAGAGGGGCAUGUGGAGGAGGCUCAUAAGGUCAUUGACAGAGUAGCUAAAAGUGGUAUUUCAUAUGAUUCUUGCUAUAGCUCUUUAGUUUUAUCGUUAUUUCGGAUUGGAAAAGUCGAGGAGGCAGAAAUGUUUUUUAGGAGAAUGUUGACUGGUGGCCUAAAGCCUGAUAGCUUCACCUCAAGCACAAUAAUACGAUGGCUUUGUCAGCAAAAUCGGAUACUUGAUGGAUAUCACUUGAUUGAGCAGUCUGCAAGUGUAUCUUCUAUAGAUUCUGAUAUUUAUUCUAUUCUUAUGGCUGGACUAUGCGAGGCAAAUCAUCUUGCGGAAGCUGCUAAGCUUGCUCAUCUGAUGGUAGAGAAAAGAAUUCAGCUCAAAGGUCCUUGUGUUAAGAAUGUAACUGAAUGUCUUAGACAUUGUGGGAAAGAGGAUUUAGCUUCAAGCAUUGGUAAUGUUAAGAGCUGAUGAAUGUUGAGAUUGCAUUAAUAUGUUGAUCCUACUUGUGCACCAUACAGUCCCCUCGUCAGUUAUAUGGAAUAUUCCACAUAAUUGAAUUCUUUCUUCAGUUUUGUGCAAUCAAAUACAUGUUGGUGCUAUGCGCACAAAACUUCAGUUAGUUGUUGAGGCUAUGCAUGAGCAGGUUUAGUGCUUGUUCUUCUGUUAUGAAUAUUCCCCUAUAUUAGUCCCCACGCUGUUCAAUUUCUUCCUUUGGUGCUUUCUUUCGUGCCGCAUACACAGAGUUAAACUUUUCCCAACUAUUCAUUUUACUGGCACUUUGCACUCUGUGCUUCGGAAGUGGAACACUCUAAUAAGUUGACGAAAAACCAAUGAUCUUUCACCAGAAUCACUCUGUGUUGCUGCAGGGGAAUGAAUGUCAAGAGGAAGAGUUCUUGAAUCUGAUAAAAGGAGGAAAAGAGGGAAAUGGGAUUUCAAUAAUUAAGAGAAAAAUAUCUCUCUGUGUACACUUUAUUCGUUUAGCUCAUGUUACUGCUUGAACAGUCAGUAGUUGACUCUAAUGUAAUAUGAGUUCUGGCAGGAAAACCAUCGGAUAAAGGCUUCUUCAGCAGCAGUUUUGCACAAUAAACCAACUAAUGGUUUAGUACAUUGCUUCAUCUGUAUCCUAACUCGAAUGCCUCUCAUGUAUGUUAUCGAUUUUCGGAACUUGUGUUUUGUCAUGCUUUGAGAUUGUCGAUUGUGAAGACCACUCUAUUUAUACUGUAAAAUGAACCUCCUAACUACCAGUAGUAAGUGGGCGUAGAUUGAUAGACAAAGAUAGUUUGUUUGGAGGAAGAAACUAAGGACCAAACAUUUAUCUUGCAACUGUAAUUUCUGUAUGAAUGCAAAACUGUUUUUUCAAA